GCCAGGGUGGCGUAGUGGUUGCUGCAUCUGUCUAAUGAGCAGGAGACCUGGGUUCGAAUCCCGGCCUUGGUA